ensembl:rRNA 5S_rRNA 5S ribosomal RNA
UUCUUCAGCCAAGCAUCCAGCCAACCUUUUCUGAACAAAGAAGCUAAGCACUACCGUGGUGUUAACACUUGGAGGGGAGACCUCAAGGGAAUAAAUAGCAGGAUUGU